ACAAUAAAAUACUGUCGAACUAAGUUAUGUAAAAAUAAUCUUUUUUUUUUUCUAUGUUAGUCGUUUCGAGAGGUCAAAUCGUUGUUGACGUUGGUAUUAACGUUAGUUAUAAAAUGUGAUUAUUGUAAAGUUAAUAUAAUUUAUGAUGUUGAGGUGGAACCAAUCUGUACUUUUAAGAAUAGUGAAGGGUUAAUUACAUAGACCAAUAAUAUUAGUCCUACUAGUACUAAUAAUAGUUUUCGUGUUGUUUUUUUUUAAUAUAAAAACCUGCUUUAAUGCAGAAACUACGAAAGGUGCAUUGUAUGAACGUUUGGAUGCCAUCAGUGUUCAACUUUUUUUCGAAGUUCGUUUUUGUAUGUCUAACAUUAGGCUUAACGUUAUUGAGUACUGAGACUGGUGUUAAAAUAUGUGGUAGCAUUCCAUUAGUAAUCAAUUAUACAGCAUCGUUGGAGGUUCAUCAUCAGUGUAGCUCACAACAUGAUUGUACUCAUCUGAAAGGCUAUGUCUGGUGCAACCCUUUUGGUAAUAAAUGUGAAUGUGAAAGAGGAACAUUUAUGUUAAGUUCAAGCUAUAAGUGUGUUAAAGUAGCCAGGCUCCAUGAUGUGUGUGAAUCACCAGAACAGUGUAAGAAAUGGGACCCAUUGUCUACAUGUACUCUGACCUAUGAGUCCAAUAUCUUAUCCUCUGCAUGCAAGUGUGAUACAAACUACCAAGAAGAGAUUGGUUUUAACAAAACAACAUGUGUCAUUCAGAGAUCAUUUUUUCCCAAAAAUGGGAUUCACCAACAUUUUGACACCAGAGACUCUGUGCCUAUAUUAAUGGGAUGUGUUGCUGCAGGCUUGGCUCUUCUUGCAUGCAGUGCUGGAAUAGCUCAGCUUUUGAGAAAACGACACCAGCAGUUUCGAUCUGGUCCAGUUAAUCAUGAAGAAGAAACUAGUAAUCUACAGAGGAUAUCUAUGGUUUCAACAAGGUCUACACGUCCUACGACAACAACAAUAACCACCCAGCCAGCAGAGGAAAUAUCUCUCGCUCACAUCAAUCAAGAGGACCUCCCACCAAGUUAUGAGGAGGCUAUCAAGUAUUCCUCUCCAGUAACUUUGUUGCCUCAUUCAGAAAAAGAAGAGCAACAGGCGUAAUGUUCUGUCGAGCAAAUCGUACUCCCUCAUAACGAAGAAAAGGCCAAUAAGGAUUUAAUCAUUGUAAUUGUAAUUGGUGUCGUCAUUGUUCUUAAUACUUUUACCUUUUGGAUGUGUGGGCUAUGCAGUUUUAUCACGAGAAUGCAUUCCAGAAGUAAUUCUGACUCGUCUAUUCCCGAUCAUCCACAUAUUAUUGUGACUGAAGAUGUUUCUAAUUCCGAUGAGGGACUUCCAUAUGAUGUCAGUAUUACGUGAGAAAAUUUCACACACGUGGGGAAAUAAUAUUUUGGGCAAGUCAAAGUAUAUGGAUGUGAUGUCCUUGAAAAUGUCAGUUAUAUAAUUAAGUUUUGGAAUAUAUGCACAUGAAUAGCCUUUUACAAUAACAAAAUGUUCCUCAACGAGUAAGAAGAGAGAAUAAUAAUUCCAGAAUUCAAAACAAGAUGAACUUUCAUUUGAAAACCCUAAUCCUUUGCCGAAUAUAUGAUAAAACACUCAAAAUAGAACUACGGAUGUUUUAAAGCUGAUAAUGUUCCGAUGUUCUAAAAGACAUAUAUCAACAAAAUAGAACUACGGAUGUUUUAAAGCUGAUAAUGUUCCGAUGUUCUAAAAGACAUAUAUCAACAAAAUAGAACUACGGAUGUUUUAAAGCUGAUAAUGUUCCGAUGUUCUAAAAGACAUAUAUCAACAAAAUAGAACUAUUGAUGUUUUAAAGCUGAUAAUGUUCCGAUGUUCUAAAAGACAUAUAUCAACAAAAUAUAACGCUAAACAGCAUAUUAAGUUUAUUACGGAUACUAAUAAGUACAUCUGUGAACAUGACAAGUGUCGGAUAAUACAUCUUCUAUAUUGAUCAGUCAAGUUUUUUGUUAUCAACGUUGCUAGAAGUGUUUCGGCAUUGUGCUUCACACUUGCAGUGGAUACUACAAGCAAUACCCUUCUUGGAAGACCCACAUGACACACAUAGUCAUUGACUGCUCUUACACGAACAUCUAACAUUUGUAAGAAGUUCCACGAGUGCUGCAGCUUUGUCGGUGAUUACAGGUACAACGGAGUGAAAUUAGGCUGCCCUGCAUGUUGGAGGCAUGCGUUGAAUAGGGAAAAAUCGGCGAUAUCACCAUCAAGUAUCGCAUUUCAUCAACAUUUUUUAAUUUUGCACUGUUCGUGUAGUAAGCGUGCAUAAAUUUCUCACCGAUAUUCUGCAGCAAGUCGUUUGAUGAAGAUGUGUCCCUGAAAUUGGGUACUUUUGAACGCCAUUUUUGUGAUGACUGACGUAUUUUGAGAUGCUUAACAUUACCGAUUCCAUACAAAGUGAAAUCGUGUCGUAUCCAGAACUAGCAUGAGCAAAAUGUAAGCAUAUGCAUAAUUCUCUCCCGAUAACUUCUUUCGCUAUCCUGAUUGAAAUGUACUGUUACUUUGUAUUUAGGAAUAUAUCUGCUGAAUGUUUUGCGUGAUUAAAUAGCAAUAUUAGAAUAUGUGUAUCGUCUGCUGUGAUAAUUAUCUGUUCAUGGUUUUCUAUGAGUUCAAGUGCCAUUCGAACUAUCACCACGUCAGCAUCUCCUUCCUGCCCUGCAUGAUUUACGUUGAUCCCAACUGACUUAAGGUGAAUUGCCAACAGGGUAAUGAAGUUUCGUUUGUUACGUUUCCUCGAUAAAAAUGAUGCAUUGUCUGCAGGAACACAUAAUAUUUGCUGUAGCCACUGGGGUAAUGAAGUUUUGUUUAUUACGUUUGUUCGAUAAGAAUAUGUCUUGUCUGCAGGAAUUGGGGUAUUGUUUUUGAGCACCAUGUCAGGACAUGAUAUUUGCUGUAGCCACUGUUUUUUCUGUUCUGGUCCUUUUGUCGUUUCUACUUCAUAGCUAUCAAAGAUCACCAAUACCGUUCGCUUGCUGUAUUCGUACUACAGUGGAUACCAAAGAGUUAAACACAGUGUCCAUUGUUCCAGCUUUGUGCCAUGGAAUAUGAUGAAUCAGAGCACAGCCGUCAUACAAUCUGCCUGACUUGGUGGAACAAGAUAAUUGAUUUGUUAUAUAUGUACUCAUUUGAAGCAAAUGAUUUGCUAGUUGUAACUUCUGGAUUUGCCUCAUACUUCCAUCAGACCUUAGUUUUGGAGUUGAGGAAUUAUGUUUUCCAAGUCCAGCAGUACUGUGUUGAGCUUGUUCUACAUUUAUUGCAAGCGUGUAAGCCUUGUAGCACUUUUCAUGCACAUGGUAUUUUUCAGAAGGCGAAGAUUGCACUUUCUAGUGAAGCUCAUCUCCAAGAUUUCGUGAUUCCUCUAGCAGCGAAAAUAAUCACUUCAGACCUAAUGUUCUACCACCACCAUCACUAAUUUUACUACCAAAAACUAUAUAAAGACAUGUUGAUGUCUUAUCUAUAGUGAAAAGAAACAAAAUUAACACAAGUAACUGACAGCAAAAGCCGUAAUAGCAGCAAGAACAACAGAGCAAUAAUAGUAUAUUAAUAGCAGAUGCAGCAGCAGUAGUAGUAAUAGUAGUGUUACAAGUAGUAGCUGAGCAUUAAUAUUACCAUCAGUAGUCGCGACUGUCUCUAUGUAUUGUCUUGAAGUACUCUUUUCAUAAAUUUAUUUGAUGUUCGCUGUAUUAAUUAAUUAAAUAUUUGUGUAUUCAUACGUGGUUAUUGAAUUCAAACAUAAUAUUCAAUUACUAUAGUUAUCCUCAAAUACAAUCAUAAGUGCCUAUUUUCAUUUGAGACAGAAUGGAGCUUUUGUCAAUAUCAAAUAUGUCUGUCACAUUCACCUUAACAUUCCCAAAGUCUCUAAGCCUUAAUGUUCUAAAGUAUUGAAGUUUCAAUUUUCUUAUAAAAUCAUGCAAACAAUUAUAUUAGGUGGAUUUAUUGAAUCAUUAUUAUGAAUAAAAGUCUGUGCAAAAACAUUGCUAUAUUUAUUCAGUGUUUAAUAGUAAUCUUUUCACACACAAAAAACUGCAUUGUAUAGGCCUAACUUUGACCUGUAAAACAAAACAACAAAAUUCCCCAUGUAAGAAUUUGUGUGAAUUUUUCUUGCUGCUUUCAGAAACCCAUAUCCAUGUUUUAAGACCAAAACUUGGUUGUUAUGGAAAAUGUCCAGGUUGGCCAUAUUUUGUGUCAAUUUUUACUGGACUAUUAUUCCUUAUUUUAAAAACGUCUUUUAUAGUAAGAUUGUGCCAUAAAGAUUAAAAUUUGCUCUUUAAAAUUCUGUGAAAUUAAUUCAUUUUACAUAAAGAAUGUAAUCUGUUUACAAUUUACAUGAACUGUUUCUUUUAUUAUUGAUUUUAUACAAAAACACAAAUUAGAAAUAAACGUCAAAUAUUGUUCUUGAGAUAUGAUAUAACUAAAAAAAUACAACUAAUAACUACUUUGGUGAUACACUAAUAAGUGUUUACGUUAUUGGUAAUUUUUACUCCUCCUUUGUCCGCAGUCUCCUUUUUUCUAAACAUAUUUGCUAGUUACAUACAUGUAUAUCAGGCAAAUGUUUUAUUUAAAGACACAAUGUAUACAACCAAGUGUUUUCUAGGUCAUUACGAGUAUACAAGAAAAGUUAAUCCUACUAAAACUAUAUAAUAACUAGUGCUCUAUGCGUAAAAUUAACACAUCAAAAUAAUAUCCCGUUCGUUAUUAAAGAGGGUGCAAAUAAAGAAAAUGGUUUAAAUUUAAACACCAAAUGAAACAAAAGGGCAUCAUUACAUUUAUAUUUUGUUUAAUGCCAACCUCCGCCUUUGCCUGGUCCCAAGUCCAGGAUGAGAAAGGAG